rnacentral:rRNA from 1 species
CGCGUAGGCGGCGGCACAAGUCUCAUGUGAAAGCCCCGGGCUUAACCCGGGAAGAGCAUGGGAAACUGUGUGGCUUGAGUGAGGUAGAGGAUCGUGGAAUUCCUAGUGUAGCGGUAAAAUGCAUAGAUAUUAGGAGGAACACCGGUGGCGAAGGCGACGAUCUGGGCCUUAACUGACGCUGAGGCGCGAAAGCGUGGGUAGCAAACA